rnacentral:rRNA from 1 species
GUAGGUGGCAAGCGUUGUCCGGAUUUACUGGGCGUAAAGAGCGCGCAGGCGGUCGGGUGAGUCGAAUGUGAAAGCCCCCGGCUCAACUGGGGAGGGACAUUCGAUACUGUCCGACUCGAAGGCAGGAGAGGGAAGCGGAAUUCCCGGUGUAGUGGUGAAAUGCGUAGAUAUCGGGAGGAACACCAGUGGCGAAGGCGGCUUUCUGGCCUGUUCUUGACGCUGAGGCGCGAAAGCUAGGGGAGCGAACGGGAUUAGAUACCCCGGUAGUCCUAGCCGUAAACGAUGGACACUAGGUGUUGGUGGUAUCAACCCCACCAGUGCCGUAGCUAACGCAUUAAGUGUCCCGCCUGGGGAGUACGGCCGCAAGGCUA